rfam:Flavobacterium sp. ov086 genome assembly, contig: Ga0070134_110
AAAGUCGUAUCCGAAAAACUUAUAGAGUAGGAA